GACGAACGCUGGCGGCGUGCUUAACACAUGCAAGUCGAACGGUGAAGGGGUCUGCUUUUGUGGGCCCUGGAUGAGUGGCGAACGGGUGAGUAACACGUGAGUAACCUGCCCCCUUCUUCUGGAUAACCGCAUGAAAGUGUGGCUAAUACGGGAUAUUCUGGGUCUGUCGCAUGAUGGGUCUGGGAAAGAUUGCGCCUUUGGGUGUUUUUGGUGGGGGAUGGGCUCGCGGCCUAUCAGCUUGUUGGUGGGGUGAUGGCCUACCAAGGCGGUGACGGGUAGCCGGCCUGGGGGGGUGGACGGUCACACUGGGACUGAGACACGGCCCAGACUCCUACGGGAGGCAGCAGUGGGGAAUAUUGCACAAUGGGGGCAAGCCUGAUGCAGCGACGCCGCGUGAGGGAUGGAGGCCUUCGGGUUGUAAACCUCUUUCGCCAGUGAAGCAGGCCUGCUCCUUGUGGGUGGGUUGACGGUAGCUGGAUAAGAAGCGCCGGCUAACUACGUG
rnacentral:rRNA from 1 species